AAAGCUCACACAGAUCAGUGUGAUCAGAGUGAUGCCACAUGAACUCCACAUGAUUCAAUGUGAAUUAUAUCAGAGGCCUUUAUUGAUCAUUCUGGCUCUCAUAUAGUCUUAAGCAUAGAGCACACACCUACACAUUCACAUAAUUAGACAAGAACAACCCAGUCUUUUACAUACACCAUGCUUUGUUUUUCUCAGUAACAAGAUGUCCACUUAUCUAUCCUUUCACAGCUAAGUGGCCUGCAGCUGUGGGAACCAAGGUCAAGAUUUACUUGUUAUUAUCCUUCUCACAUUGCAUUCCCACAGGGGACCUUAGCAGUUUUGGCUGUUCUCUGAAGAAGUGCUCAAGACAUUCCCAAGUUUGGCAGCUCUGUGACUCCUCUUGGACUUCUGUGGCAUGGAUUUCUAUUAUUGGAUAUUGCCUGCAAUGUCAGAGGCUGCUGUUGCAGAGGAAUCCAGUAAGGGAUCACUGCCAAAUGCCUAUCUUACCUCUAUGAAUGAAUUAAAUAGGCAAGAAGAUUCAGAUCAGAAGACUAUCUUCUUCUUACAAAAAACAAAUGCUACAUUUAGGUUUAUAUAGUGGCCUGACCUCUUAGGAGUCUCCAGAAAUAGAAUUACCUGGGAACAAUAUUGUGUAAUCCUAGAAAUAGCCUCUGCCAAGCAGUCAUCUCAUUACAUACAUGUUAGUAAAUAGAAUCCCUUUCAUUUUGAGUAUAAGAAAAGAAAUGAGAGAAUAAGGUUACUAAUCAAUUUUAAGAUGUUAACAACAAUACAGUUAACUGUGAAUAAAUAAUCAAGAAUCAAGAAUCAAGAAUUUACUGCUAGGUUUUUUUCCCCCACAAUUCCUGCAUGUAGGAAUAUUUAUUGCCAGUCCAUUGUGAAUGUAAACAUCCACUUUUUACAAUAAUAAUAAACACAUAAAAUUAUUCUCAUCUGGCAAGAAGAAUAUCAGCAUUCUUUAUAAUUUCUGCUGAAAUCACUAUUUUGCAUUUUCUUAAUUUUCUCUGAAUACCUACAUUCACAAGUAUCUCAAGAGUGAACUUCUUAGGGACUAAUUUUUGGCCACUAAAUUGCUCAUCUCAGCUUUAUCCAGUGAUUCAGUUAAGCAUUAAUUACAUUACCAAACUGCAAUGAAGAUGUGUCAUAAUCCUGAUACUUGAGAAAUUAUAAAGGAUUAGGGAAGCACAGAAGACCACUGGCAAAAUAAGAAACUAUUAGAAGAUGAUUUGUAUUAGCAGCUUCACAACAGUGCACAGUCCUACCUUUGAAACUUUAUUUGCUUAAUUUUAAAAAUGAGUUUGAAAAGGUACUCAGCAAAGGUAGACAAAUACUAUGUAUCCUAGAGCACCCUCUCUCAGUUCAAAAUCAGGCUGCUUUGAAUAGCUGCUCAGUGACUUGCAUUUUACAAGUACCUGGUUACAGGAAAUGGAUGGAUCUUUUAGUCAUGGUUUAUACAUUAAUUAUCUCUCACCUAAGUACAUCUAUACAAUAAUUGUAUAGAAUUAUGUGCUCUAUUACACUAGAAUGUAAAUUAUAUAGCUAAAGCAGUUAACCAGUGAAACUUCACUGUUGAAUACCCACUCAGUGAGUUCCAUUUGUUCCAGCUCUGUGACAUGAACUAGAGGUUCAAAAGCUUCAUGCUAUAUCAACAAUUGUAAUAAAUUAUAUGUUUCUUACUGCUUUAACAGUUUGUAUUAUACAGUACCCAAGAUAGACUCUGAGAUUAAAACCAUUUCCUGGGAAACUAUAUUCAUCACUGCUCCUAACAAAUGGAGAAGUGGGAGAAGGAAGAAGGGGAUGCAGAAGUGAUGGUGUAGAUGGUGCUGUGUUUCGUCUCCUCAGAACAUUCCCAAGAUGCAGAACAAAUAUGGUCAUCUUCCUCUGCUUUAUGAACUUUAAUGUGCAUCUCUUAGCUCAAUGCUUUACCCACUGAACUAGAGGGUUUUCUAAAAUGGAAUUCUUAAUAGAAUGCACUUUAAACACUCAUUAGUUCAGAGAUUGGAGUCCAGGCUUCCAAGUCUCAGAAGACUUCCUCGUCCAUUAGUCUGCAGAGCUUUGCAAUGACUAUUUAAUUGUUCUGGUCAACAGUAAGAGUAAUUGAGAAAACCUUACCCUGUAUUCUGGCAAUUGCAGAAUCCAUCUAAGAAUGUUUUAAGUUUUCAUCAUACAGGAGAGGUCUACAGUAUAAUCUCUCACAUGCUAGGGGACAGACCUGGCCUGUAAUACGUGAAUUUGUGGAAACAGCAGCACGCUGUUUUGAAAAGGGCAGUGAGAGAAGGAUAGAAACUGUAUAACAAGUUGCAUGAAUGCUUACUGAAGUUGGCUGCAAUAGUGGGACAAGUAGAAGGAAUACUCAGGAUAAUUUUUUUCUAGGCAAAGAUAGAAAUGAGAUUAUGUUUUUUCUGAUCAUUAUAAGAUUCUAGUCCUGGGCAUCCUUAAAACUGGAUGAAUUUGACUAAUAGAUGGGAAAACUUCUCUAUAAUCAAGUACCACAUGUGAUGUGAUCUUACAUCUUUCAACAAGUUCCCUAUAAAGAAAAGAUGCAGGUGAUUUAACUGCCCCCAAAGCACAGGAGUCUGAGAUCCGUUCAACAAAGUCAGCAGAGGGAGGUGCUGAGUCACAUGCAUGUGUGACCAAAGUUUUCUUCAGGUGAAUGACCUGCUCAGCCUAGUGGCUGAGCUGUAGGAGGAAGUUAAAAGGCUGCAAACUAUUACGGAAUGUGAGAGGGAGCUGGAUUGGUGGAACCAGACUCUACCAUCUCUCAAAAAAGUCCCAACAGCCAUGCAGAAGUGAGGACACUGAGGGCUCCCUACCCUCUUGCCAGUUUCCCAAACAGGGUGACCCAGAAGCUGGAGAUCAAUGGAGACAAAUUCCUCCCAGGCAUGACACUCCAGUAGCCACUGAACCCUGCAAGGUGCUUCUUAAGAAUCUGUUGUUCUUGGUGAACCUGUUUUCACCAAAAGCAAUGUUCUGCAAGAGAAACCAACCAACAGCAGCUAUGAGAGCUUGUCUAGUUUAUGUCACUCAGAGAGUCUAGGAGGCAGCAAGCCUGUGGGAGAGUUCUCCCGCAGCAGGGCAUGAGCUGUAAAACAUGAGACCUUGCCAGCCCCCUGGGGUGGAACCACGGGCUGUUGUGAUAAGGAAUAACCUAUCUGUGCCUUACACAUAACUUUGAGCCAAUCUGUACCUUCCACUUGUACCAAUCUCAAACUUAGUUGUGCACGCCUCUUCCAAGUAGCAUAUAAGCCGCUGUAUUGCUUCAAUAAAGCGUACUGAUGCAUAGCAA